GACUCAUCCCCUCUCCUGAGUCCCACAAACUCACCCUUUAUCAUUCCUGAAAAACAAGCUUUAUCAAGAACAUUUAAUUAUACCUUCUUCUGUCGCCGAUACCCUUGGUGAUUCUGUAUUCUGAGAUGGAAAUGGGACAUGCAUGGUUCCUAAUUGCUCAUGUGUUCACUGGCUGUUAUACUCCAGACUCAGCUGUGUUGGUGAGUGGCUGUCUAGACAUAACAGUUCCAGAAGCCAGACUCUUAGAGAGCUAAAUCCAACAAGUUGGAUGUUGGCAGAGCCAUGGAGAGUCUCGAGGGACAGCCUGCUUCUAUACCUGUCUCCAGGCUCCUGAGCUGUGUUCCUUGACCCCUGCCUCACCUCCACCUUCCAA